GGGUUGUGAGGUUAAGCGACUAAGCGUACACGGUGGAUGCCCUGGCAGUCAGAGGCGAUGAAGGACGUGCUAAUCUGCGAUAAGCGUCGGUAAGGUGAUAUGAACCGUUAUAACCGGCGAUUUCCGAAUGGGGAAACCCAGUGUGAUUCGUCACACUAUCAUUAACUGAAUCCAUAGGUUAAUGAGGCGAACCGGGGGAACUGAAACAUCUAAGUACCCCGAGGAAAAGAAAUCAACCGAGAUUCCCCCAGUAGCGGCGAGCGAACGGGGAGCAGCCCAGAGCCUGAAUCAGUGUGUGUGUUAGUGGAAGCGUCUGGAAAGGCGCGCGAUACAGGGUGACAGCCCCGUACACAAAAAUGCACAUACUGUGAGCUCGAUGAGUAGGGCGGGACACGUGGUAUCCUGUCUGAAUAUGGGGGGACCAUCCUCCAAGGCUAAAUACUCCUGACUGACCGAUAGUGAACCAGUACCGUGAGGGAAAGGCGAAAAGAACCCCGGCGAGGGGAGUGAAAAAGAACCUGAAACCGUGUACGUACAAGCAGUGGGAGCCUCUUUUAUGGGGUGACUGCGUACCUUUUGUAUAAUGGGUCAGCGACUUAUAUUCUGUAGCAAGGUUAACCGAAUAGGGGAGCCGAAGGGAAACCGAGUCUUAACCGAGCGAUAAGUUACAGGGUAUAGACCCGAAACCCGGUGAUCUAGCCAUGGGCAGGUUGAAGGUUGGGUAACACUAACUGGAGGACCGAACCGACUAAUGUUGAAAAAUUAGCGGAUGACUUGUGGCUGGGGGUGAAAGGCCAAUCAAACCGGGAGAUAGCUGGUUCUCCCCGAAAGCUAUUUAGGUAGCGCCUCGUGAAUUCAUCUCCGGGGGUAGAGCACUGUUUCGGCAAGGGGGUCAUCCCGACUUACCAACCCGAUGCAAACUGCGAAUACCGGAGAAUGUUAUCACGGGAGACACACGGCGGGUGCUAACGUCCGUCGUGAAGAGGGAAACAACCCAGACCGCCAGCUAAGGUCCCAAAGUCAUGGUUAAGUGGGAAACGAUGUGGGAAGGCCCAGACAGCCAGGAUGUUGGCUUAGAAGCAGCCAUCAUUUAAAGAAAGCGUAAUAGCUCACUGGUCGAGUCGGCCUGCGCGGAAGAUGUAACGGGGCUAAACCAUGCACCGAAGCUGCGGCAGCGACACUGUGUGUUGUUGGGUAGGGGAGCGUUCUGUAAGCCUGUGAAGGUGUACUGUGAGGUAUGCUGGAGGUAUCAGAAGUGCGAAUGCUGACAUAAGUAACGAUAAAGCGGGUGAAAAGCCCGCUCGCCGGAAGACCAAGGGUUCCUGUCCAACGUUAAUCGGGGCAGGGUGAGUCGACCCCUAAGGCGAGGCCGAAAGGCGUAGUCGAUGGGAAACAGGUUAAUAUUCCUGUACUUGGUGUUACUGCGAAGGGGGGACGGAGAAGGCUAUGUUGGCCGGGCGACGGUUGUCCCGGUUUAAGCGUGUAGGCUGGUUUUCCAGGCAAAUCCGGAAAAUCAAGGCUGAGGCGUGAUGACGAGGCACUACGGUGCUGAAGCAACAAAUGCCCUGCUUCCAGGAAAAGCCUCUAAGCAUCAGGUAACAUCAAAUCGUACCCCAAACCGACACAGGUGGUCAGGUAGAGAAUACCAAGGCGCUUGAGAGAACUCGGGUGAAGGAACUAGGCAAAAUGGUGCCGUAACUUCGGGAGAAGGCACGCUGAUAUGUAGGUGAAGUCCCUCGCGGAUGGAGCUGAAAUCAGUCGAAGAUACCAGCUGGCUGCAACUGUUUAUUAAAAACACAGCACUGUGCAAACACGAAAGUGGACGUAUACGGUGUGACGCCUGCCCGGUGCCGGAAGGUUAAUUGAUGGGGUCAGCGCAAGCGAAGCUCUUGAUCGAAGCCCCGGUAAACGGCGGCCGUAACUAUAACGGUCCUAAGGUAGCGAAAUUCCUUGUCGGGUAAGUUCCGACCUGCACGAAUGGCGUAAUGAUGGCCAGGCUGUCUCCACCCGAGACUCAGUGAAAUUGAACUCGCUGUGAAGAUGCAGUGUACCCGCGGCAAGACGGAAAGACCCCGUGAACCUUUACUAUAGCUUGACACUGAACAUUGAGCCUUGAUGUGUAGGAUAGGUGGGAGGCUUUGAAGUGUGGACGCCAGUCUGCAUGGAGCCGACCUUGAAAUACCACCCUUUAAUGUUUGAUGUUCUAACGUGGACCCGUGAUCCGGGUUGCGGACAGUGUCUGGUGGGUAGUUUGACUGGGGCGGUCUCCUCCUAAAGAGUAACGGAGGAGCACGAAGGUUGGCUAAUCCUGGUCGGACAUCAGGAGGUUAGUGCAAUGGCAUAAGCCAGCUUGACUGCGAGCGUGACGGCGCGAGCAGGUGCGAAAGCAGGUCAUAGUGAUCCGGUGGUUCUGAAUGGAAGGGCCAUCGCUCAACGGAUAAAAGGUACUCCGGGGAUAACAGGCUGAUACCGCCCAAGAGUUCAUAUCGACGGCGGUGUUUGGCACCUCGAUGUCGGCUCAUCACAUCCUGGGGCUGAAGUAGGUCCCAAGGGUAUGGCUGUUCGCCAUUUAAAGUGGUACGCGAGCUGGGUUUAGAACGUCGUGAGACAGUUCGGUCCCUAUCUGCCGUGGGCGCUGGAGAACUGAGGGGGGCUGCUCCUAGUACGAGAGGACCGGAGUGGACGCAUCACUGGUGUUCGGGUUGUCAUGCCAAUGGCACUGCCCGGUAGCUAAAUGCGGAAGAGAUAAGUGCUGAAAGCAUCUAAGCACGAAACUUGCCCCGAGAUGAGUUCUCCCUGACCCUUUAAGGGUCCUGAAGGAACGUUGAAGACGACGACGUUGAUAGGCCGGGUGUGUAAGCGCAGCGAUGCGUUGAGCUAACCGGUACUAAUGAACCGUGAGGCUUAACCUUACAACGCCGAAGGUGUUU
rnacentral:rRNA from 1 species